rnacentral:rRNA from 1 species
UACAGAGGGGGCGAGCGUUGUUCGGAAUUACUGGGCGUAAAGGGCGCGUAGGCGGCCCGCUAAGUCGAACGUGAAAUCCCCAGGCUCAACCUGGGAACUGCGUCCGAUACUGGCAGGCUUGAAUCCGGGAGAGGGAUGUGGAAUUCCAGGUGUAGCGGUGAAAUGCGUAGAUAUCUGGAGGAACACCGGUGGCGAAGGCGGCAUCCUAGACCGGUAUUGACGCUGAGGCGCGAAAGCUAGGGGAGCAAACAGG